GGAUAAUGGAAGGAAAAGGAAGAGAGUCGCAGGGGGACGAACGAGAAACCUUGUGCGAAAAUGGCAAUAACAGCAUUCCAAACCCAUCGCUCUCGUCCAUUCCUUCCAUUAUCCACCAAAUCACAACCGUCUACUUCACCAAGGGUUUCCUGUUGCGCUUCUCACCUCUCAAGCAAGUGCCGGAGGGAGUACACAAGCGUCAUGAUAGUUCCCACCGGAGUUGGUGCCGCCAUUGGUGGAUUCGCCGGCGAUGCUUUACCGGUUGCUCGUGCUUUAUCUUCAGUCGUAGAUUGCCUCAUCACUCAUCCUAAUGUGCUUAAUGCUGCAAUGCUUUACUGGCCUAUGCCAAAUGUACUAUAUGUUGAAGGUUAUGCUCUUGACCGUUUUGCAGAAGGUUCAUGGGCUCUUCACCCUGUUCACCAAAAUAAGGUGGGAUUGGUUCUUGACAAUGGUAUAGAGGAGGAGCUUCAAAUUCGCCAUUUGCAAGUUGCUGAUGCAACCAAGGCAUCUCUUGGAUUGCCUGUUGUGGAGUAUAUUGUCACUGAUACUCCAUUAGAGGUGGAAAAGUGGGUUGAUCCAAAGAGUGGGCAAUCAACCGGCAGGAUUAAGCGUCCUGAUUCGCUCUUAAGAGCUGUGCAGACUUUAGUUAACCGUUCUCAAGUGAAUGCUAUUGCUGUUGUUGCACGCUUUCCAGAUGAUGACGUUGAAGAUGUUGAUGAUUAUAGACAGGGGAUGGGAAUAGAUAUAUUGGCAGGAGUAGAAGCAGUUAUAAGUCAUCUAGUGGUAAAGGAAUUCCAGAUUCCUUGUGCGCAUGCUCCUGCAAUGCAACCGCUUCCCUUGAUUCCGUCUCUUUGUCCCAAAUCGGCUGCUGAGGAGAUAGGAUACACUUUCUUGCCCUGUGCACUUGCUGGGCUAAGCAGAGCACCACAGUAUUUGGUAAAGAACUCCCAUUACUCAGAGAAGGGUUGCAUAUUAGCUAGUGAUGUUGAUAGUAUUCUUCUUCCAGUAGAUGCUUGUGGUGGAGAUGGUGCUCUUGCUUUUGCAAGAAGUAAACAAAACAAGGUAGAAAUCAGAAGCAUGGUCAUAAUCAUAUUUUUCUUUCCUUACAAAGAAUUCCUGGUAGUUCUUGUAAAAGGCCAAUCUGUGUAAGAGCAUUUUUGGCUUCUUAACACCUGGUCUACCUUCCUAUCUCCAUAAUUCAGACCAUGUGUUGUUUGUAUUUGGAUGUUGAAUACUUGUAAUUGACACAAUGGUUUUCCUUUUCAGCCACUUAUAAUUACUGUGGAGGAAAAUGAAACAGUUCUCAACAGUACACCAGAUAAACUUGGCAUUAACACGGUCAUGGUUUCAAACUACUGGGAAGCAAUUGGUGUUAUUGCAGCACACAAGGCAGGAAUAGAUCCACAUUCUCUCCGAAGAAACAGAAUUGGCAACAUUCGAUGCACUUCCUAUGCACCAGCUAAUGGGUUUGAAGUUUUGAGCGUCUCAUCCAGAACAUGAUCUGACAUUAAUUUCUUUUUCUUGCUGAAAGUCCAUAUUACGUUCCUGCUUUUUCUUAAAGAAUACACCAGUUAGUAAUGCUCGUAAUUUUAUUAACC
rnacentral:misc_RNA from 1 species